ensembl:rRNA 5S_rRNA 5S ribosomal RNA
GAUCAUAAUCAGAAGUUAGUGUCAAAACCGAAUCUUUUCUGCUCUUUGAAGCUAAGCAGGGUUGUGCCUGGCCAGUACUUGGAUGGGACACCAUUAGAUACGACAGUCAGGCAGCUGUGGCAA